CGCGUCUGCUCCACAAAAUCGGACGAAAGCCGCCAAGAAAGGAGUAAAAACGAUCCCGCAGGACCUGCGGUGCAGCAGUGUGGAGACCUGCUGUAAGGCGUGCCGCUCCGACGCGGGCGGACGCGAGAGACGGGCAAGCGGAGGCUCCCGUGUCAAGGUCGGUUGCAUGGCA
rnacentral:ncRNA from 1 species